AAAUUCACCUGGCAGGGAGUUCACCAUGAUCACGAAGAUGUCCUUCCAAGGCGAGAUUAUCCAUUGCACUCAGGAUGUGCUGACCCCUGCUACUUCCCUAAAUGAGGGAAAGGGAAACUCGACUGAAUAAUUUAUGUAAUGGGGGACUGUGCUCACACUCUCCUA